CUCCGGACUCCAGAACUUUCCAAGCGGGGGAAACUUGGCGGCGGGUAGGUAGGAAAGGCAGAUUGCUGUCACGUCUAAUGUGGCUGCUGCCUCGUGUCACAUCUGAAACUCAUCUGUACCUCACUUAGAAAUUUCUUUCUAUAACACAAGCCUGAACAUAUUGCUCUCCUGAUUAACAACUUUCAGUGGUUCUGAUUAGACAAGACUUUUCGUUGCAGUCGACAGAAACCUAAUGGGACCAUUGAAGAAUUCCAAACAGGCAGUAUUUGCAUAGGAAUCAGAGGAGUUAAUCUGCAUAUGGCUACCCAUUCUCCCCAGAAAUCUCACCAGUG
rnacentral:lncRNA from 1 species